rnacentral:tRNA from 1 species
CCUGGUGGCACAGUGGUUAAGCGUUAGGCUGCUAACCAAAAGGUCGGCAGUUCUACUCUGUCCUAUAGGG